UACGUAGGUGGCAAGCGUUGUCCGGAACUAUUGGGCGUAAAGCGCGCGCAGGCGGCCUCUUAAGUCUGAUGUGAAAGCCCCCGGCUCAACCGGGGGAGGGCCAUUGGAAACUGGGAGGCUUGAGUAUAGGAGAGAAGAGUGGAAUUCCACGUGUAGCGGUGAAAUGCGUAGAGAUGUGGAGGAACACCAGUGGCGAAGGCGACUCUUUGGCCUAUAACUGACGCUGAGGCGCGGAAGCGUGGGGAGCAAACAGG
rnacentral:rRNA from 1 species